UUGAAUUCUGCAAUAACUUAUGAUCUCCCAUUGUAUCUUUCUGUUUCACUUUCAGUCCAAAUGACGGGUUUAAAGAAAGGACAAAGGAUGGAGUAAAGUGCAAUAAAAGGUUCUCGUGGGUUAGCUUAGCUACAGCUGAAGCAUAGUUAAGAAAGGAAACAUGGAGUGCCAAGUGCAGCGUCAGGAGAAUAACGAGUUAAUCAGAGAAGAAGCGUCUCUUGGUAAAUUAAAUGAGGCGUUAUCGUUCAUCAUCAGAGUGGUUGGAUGACGGUUGUUGGUAAUGAAGAAAUUGAAGGUGCCCAACGGAAAUGCCCCCAAGGCAACGGAAUUCAGAGUGAGCUAAUGCGAAUUUCAUCAAGUUCAAAUAUCAGAUAUGCAAUAAUGGUGUAGCAUUCAAAGAAUGUAAAUGAUAUUCAAUCAAUACCUUUUUAAGCUGCUUGCUUGCAGCAGUUUGCUUG